GGAACUAGGGGAGCUUGAACAGCAGUGCUCCACCAUGGAUGACUUGAUCUCUCUCAAGUACGUACAGGCCAAGGUGCCAGAAAAAACAACAGGACUUCAAAGAAUCCCCAGUAUUACUUUAGGUUCUGAGGAAGCAGGAAGAUGAGUUUUGACUUCACCCAUUCCAUCUGGAACCCAAAUCCAGAGCAGAGAGAUCAUUGUUGUGCCCCUGCCAAUACUCAGAGUGGGACAAUGGCCAUUAAAUGACCAUCAAACCCAAUGAGCAUUUCGCUUUCAAG